GAUGAACGCUGGCGGCGUGCUUAACACAUGCAAGUCGAACGGAAAGGCUCCUGCUUGCAGGGGUACUCGAGUGGCGAACGGGUGAGUAACACGUGGGUGAUCUGCCCUGCACUUCGGGAUAAGCCUGGGAAACUGGGUCUAAUACCGGAUAGGACGAUGGUUUGGAUGCCAUUGUGGAAAGUUUUUCGGUGUGGGAUGAGCUCGCGGCCUAUCAGCUUGUUGGUGGGGUAAUGGCCUACCAAGGCGUCGACGGGUAGCCGGCCUGAGAGGGUGUACGGCCACAUUGGGACUGAGAUACGGCCCAGACUCCUACGGGAGGCAGCAGUGGGGAAUAUUGCACAAUGGGAGCAAGCCUGAUGCAGCGACGCCGCGUGGGGGAUGACGGCCUUCGGGUUGUAAACUCCUUUCGCUAGGGACGAAGCGCAAGUGACGGUACCUGGAGAAGAAGCACCGGCUAACUACGUG
rnacentral:rRNA from 1 species